rnacentral:rRNA from 1 species
UCGUGGGGCAGCAUGAAGUAGCAAUACUUUGAUGGCGACCGGCAAACGGGUGCGGAACACGUACACAACCUCCCGAUAAGUGGGGAAUAGCCCAGAGAAAUUUGGAUUAAUACCCCGUAACAUUGCGAUGUGGCAUCACAUUGCAACUAUAGCUUCGGCGCUUAUUGAUGGGUGUGCGUAUGGUUAGAUAGUUGGCGAGGUAACGGCUCACCAAGUCUACGAUCAUUAGCUGAUGUGAGAGCAUGAUCAGCCACACGGGCACUGAGACACGGGCCCGACUCCUACGGGAGGCAGCAGUAAGGAAUAUUGGUCAAUGGACGAAAGUCUGAACCAGCUAUGCCGCGUGAAGGAUUAAGGUCCUCUGGAUUGUAAACUUCUUUUAUACGGGACGAAAAAAGGUCUUUCUAGAUCACUUGACGGUACCAUAUGAAUAAGCACCGGCUAACUCCGUGCCAGCAGCCGCGGUAAUACGGAGGGUGCAAGCGUUAUCCGGAUUCACUGGGUUUAAAGGGUGCGUAGGCGGGCAGGUAAGUCAGUGGUGAAAACCUGGAGCUCAACUCCAGAACUGCCAUUGAUACUAUCUGUCUUGAAUAUUGUGGAGGGAAGCGGAAUAUGUCAUGUAGCGGUGAAAUGCUUAGAUAUGACAUAGAACACCUAUUGCGAAGGCAGCUUACCACGCAUAUAUUGACGCUGAGGCACGAAAGCGUGGGGAUCAAACAGGAUUAGAUACCCUGGUAGUCCACGCCCUAAACGAUGGAUACUCGACAUUUGCGAUACACAGUAAGUGUCUGAG